UUCUUACUCAAAAUGGCCUUCUUCUUCUUUUAGAAUUAAACCAAACCCACUCGUUCUACUGGAAGCGGAGGUCUAGAUUUGGUUGAUUUGGUCUAGCUAUCGGAUGACAAAAGGAUGCCGACGUCUAUUGCAACAAUACCCCCUGGCUCUGUGUGAGUCUCUUCAACAACAUAUGGUGCAAACUUCAUGUCCUUGCAAUUGAAAUCUGGGUUUGUAGAAAAUCUGUCUGAUUUCUUCUUCUUCUCCUUGAUUUGCUUAAAUUAGUAUUCAUUACUGAUAUUAUUCACCCUUCUUUUGGCCUGCUUAUUGCAAAAUGUAAAUUUGCCUUUGCUUCUUUGGAUUUC
rnacentral:misc_RNA from 1 species